rnacentral:misc_RNA from 1 species
UCCCCGUUCUCCUGGGCAGUCUCUCCAGAGUUCUCGGCUUGACCCGUUAGUAACUGAAGACAGGGGUUGCGCUCGUUGCGGGACUUAACCCAACACCUCAUGGCACGAGCUGACGACAGCCAUGCAGCACCUCGCACGCAGUCCGAAGAAGAUCACGUUUCCGCGACUGUCUACGUGCGUUCGAGCCCUGGUAAGGUUCCUCGCGUAUCAUCGAAUUGAACCACAUGCUCCACCGCUUGUGCGGGCCCCCGUCAAUUCCUUUGAGUUUCAAUCUUGCGAUCGUACUCCCCAGGUGGGGCACUUAAUGCGUUAGCUUCGGCACGGAGAACGUGGAAUGUUCCCCACACCUAGUACCCAUCGUUUACGGCGUGGACUAC